rnacentral:rRNA from 1 species
UACAGAGGGUGCAAACGUUGUUCGGAAUUACUGGGCAUAAAGCGCACGUAGGCGGCCUUGCAAGUCGGAAGUGAAAGCCCCCGGCUUACCCGGGGAGGGUCUUUCGAUACUGUAUGGCUAGAGUAUGGUAGGGGAUAGCGGAACUCCUGGUGGAGCGGUGAAAUGCGUAGAUAUCAGGAGGAACACCGGAGGCGAAGGCGGCUAUCUGGUCCAUUACUGACGCUGAGGUGCGAAAGCCAGGGUAGCGAACGGG